AUUACAUAUAUAAUUUUACUAGCUAUUAAUCGUUGCCAAGAAAUCGAAGCUAAAAUUUUCAUUCAAUACACGAUAGGUACAACAUAUCUUUAUUGAAUCGACCUGGUAAUCCUUGUCACGAGUGUGACUCGUUACAAGACAAGGAGUUAGCACUAGAAUUGAUAAUCAACGCCUGUAACGAAUACCAGAUAAAUGUUACUAAGAGUGUCAGUGUGGUUUUAAGAAUUGCAAGAACAAAAACUGUAAAACUUGUUAUUCUUGAUAUUUCUAGUGUUAAAAGCGACAAAACCAAGGAAUCUACCGAUGCUACUUAACUAUCAUAUUAAUAAUCUCUGAGAUAUGUAAAUCCUGUUAUCGUAAAGGGUUUGGUACUUCUAAUGUCAAAAGCUGUAAGAUACAACUGACCUUCCGAUACGAGGAGCGCGAUCAAGGCAAAAGCGAGGAUCCAGGAGAGGCCAGUAUCCAUCUUUGUCCAAGCGUUGAACGCUUUUCCCCGGAUGUACGAUCGCCUGGUUGCCGUCAGCUGCUGAAUGCCCGAGGCCACGAGUCGAGUUCUUCCAGAACUGUCAUGUCAGACAGAAGAAAAAAAACCGAUGUCGACUACGAGAGAUCAACGUCUUCCUAGACGUGAAUCGAAUCGGACCGAAAAAUCCAUAUAGAGAAGAGAUAUUCGCCUUGCUACGUUCCUCGAAUCCACGUAUCACGUUUCCAACGACCCGCACUUAUGUUUUGCCGUUGGUUACCAAGGUGAUGAUUUCCUCGUCGUCGAUUUCCAACCUUUCUAGUAGGGAUUCGUAUUCCGAUCGAUGAUCUCUCGUGAUGACUUUCCUCGUCGUAACGCUUGUAAAAAAAAAGAAAA